rnacentral:rRNA from 1 species
GACGAACGCUGGCGGCGUGCUUAACACAUGCAAGUCGAACGGAAAGGCCCUGCUUUUGUGGGGUGCUCGAGUGGCGAACGGGUGAGUAACACGUGAGUAACCUGCCCUUGACUUUGGGAUAACUUCAGGAAACUGGGGCUAAUACCGGAUAGGAGCUCCUGCUGCAUGGUGGGGGUUGGAAAGUUUCGGCGGGUGGGGAUGGACUCGCGGCUUAUCAGCUUGUUGGUGGGGUAGUGGCUUACCAAGGCUUUGACGGGUAGCCGGCCUGAGAGGGUGACCGGCCACAUUGGGACUGAGAUACGGCCCAGACUCCUACUGGAGGCAGCAGUGGGGAAUAUUGCACAAUGGGCGGAAGCCUGAUGCAGCAACGCCGCGUGCGGGAUGACGGCCUUCGGGUUGUAAACCGCUUUCGCCUGUGACGAAGCGUGAGUGACGGUAAUGGGUAAAGAAGCACCGGCUAACUACGUG